GGCCUCGUGGCCCAAUGGCAAGGCGUCUGACUACGAUGGGUUCCAAGUAAUGGAUAUCUAGUGAUAAUCAGGAGAUUCUGGGUUCGACCCCCAGCGAGGUCA